rnacentral:tRNA from 1 species
GGCAGAGUGGCUGAAAGCAUGGACCCCGGAGUCAGAGGGUGUGGGUUCAAAUCCCAUCUCUGCCU